AAUAUUGAGGUUCUAACUCUGUCCCGUUAUCCGGGACGAGGACCAUGUCUGGUGGGUAGUUUGACUGGGGCGGUCUCUCCUAAAGAGUAACGGAGGAGUACGAAGGUGCGCUCAGCGUGGUCGGAAAUCACGCGUAGAGUAUAAAGGCAAAAGCGCGCUUAACUGCGAGACCCAACAAUAUUGAGGUUCUAACUCUGUCCCGUUAUCCGGGACGAGGACCAUGUCUGGUGGGUAGUUUGACUGGGGCGGUCUCUCCUAAAGAGUAACGGAGGAGU
rnacentral:rRNA from 1 species